ACUUUCUUCUUCGUCUCCCACAUCGCAGCGAUCGAUCCGCGGAGGAUGAGCCUCUGUCUACUUCUGUUGCAGCGAAGGAGGAGAUCGAUGACUGAAGACCAAUCGUUUUAGUCACGAACGGAGAUGGGAUUGAUUCGAUUGGGCUCGUUCUAUGACUCCUGGAGAAACCAUUGCUUUGAGUUCCGCCAGUAUCAAAGGUGCCACAGCCUUUGAAGUUUCAGGGACUCCUGUGGACUGCAUUUCGUAAGGAUUAUCCGGAGCCCUUCUCGCUUGGUCAAAGCCAAUACUGGUAAUUAGUGGAAUCAAUCAGUGAUCAAGCUGUGGGAUGGAGCCAGGGAACACACUCUCUGUCAGAACCGUAUUCACCAUCAUCAAAGCAUCAUUUGGGAAGAGGUGAAGAAACAACUGAAGGCGAAGAAAUGGUUUCUUGGUUCAGUAGCUGGGCCUCCAAGCAUUGCCCUGAUGCAAAGCAUAUGAAUGUUGGCAGUGACACGCAAUUAAG